rnacentral:lncRNA from 1 species
AAACAGAACAUCGAUCAUUUCGUCACUUGAUACCCUCCUCCUCUCCUUUCUCAUUCCCACUCUAUCCUCUCUUUUCUUUUCCUGUUUCCUAUUUGCUUCCGUCAAUGGAUUCCAACGCAAUCAUCUUCUCUUUAAAAUUCCAAACCCCAACUCUCCCACCUUCUUCUCCAUUGCUCUCUUCCACUAACCCCCCUCUAAUCAGCCGAUAAUUCCUUGGUUUCAAUCACACUCUCAGGCCUCCCGACGGUGCUUCUUCUCUCCGAAAGAAACACCAAAACUUGGGGUUUCUCCGCCUCCACUCUCCUCGCUUUAUCCACAGAGCUUCUGUCGACUCCAAUUUGGUUCUCAUUGUCGUUGGUGUCACUGCGCAUUAUCGGCUUUAUAAGUCUGCAAGCACUGAUUAGAGCUAAUAUCUUUACUCUACUUUUUUCCAGGUGAAGUCGUGAAAAAGAAGCCACAAAGCUUGUUUCUCUUGAACGAUAUUCCCAAUUCGCAGAAGCUCUUUUUAGUUGUGUGGAGACUGGAGUGGAUUGGUGAAUGAAGCCAAAGACUCUACUUGCAUUGAUAUGUUUAUGUUGUACCAGAAUUGACUCUUUGUUUAUAACUUGUAUUGAUUUGUUAUGUUGUACUUGUACAAGUAUUGACUCGUUGUUUGUGACUUGUAGUGAUUUGUUAUGUUGUGGAGUAUCAACUCUUGGUUUAUGAGCUCCUUGCGGUUUGGCAGAUAAAGGGGAAAAAUUCAUCUUUCCGUCCCAUUGCUCUCUAUGUAUAACAGAGAACUGCUUGUUCUUUCUAGCAACACAUCCAUCCAAAAUAGAUUGCUAUUAUGGGCCUAAUGACCCAUAACUCGUUAAACGAAUGUGUGGUUAGGGUUGGGCCGAAUAUGUCGGUUUCAGAAUUUUUAUAUUAUGGGACUCAACGCGAUCGAAAUCGAAAAGCGAAAUGGGCAACGGCAAUGCCUUCCUGGUUCAGCUCAUUUUUCAGCUACCUGUCCUAAAAGCCUUCAGAAUUCUCCACUUAUACCGUAAAUUUUCUACUAAUUCAAUUCAUUAGAAAAUCCCAGUUAUUCCAUAGUUUUAAUUCCUUCCCUGACUGUCGACUUGACGUAAGCUUCAAUAUUAGAGUUUUUAACUUCAGUUUUGUGUUUCCAUUUCUCUUUUAUUUUCUUUUAUUUCCCAAUCGCAAUUAUUUGAAAUUAUUAUUAAUUUUUGGUCCAGAAUUUAAAUUAAUAUUAUCAUUCAUAAUUCAAAGCGUUUGGCUGGAUCAUCCAUGUUCUGAUGUCUGUUUGUCUAUUCAUUUGUCUUGCAUAAAAAUUUUCUUUUAUUAAGAUAGUGCUCUAUGUUAAUCUUUCUUUCUUCCUUGUUUUAUAUUUGUUGAGAUUAUUUUAAUAUCAAAUUUUAUUAAGGCCCUUUUCUCUUCUAGAAAAAUUUUGCCUCAGAAAUUGAUUUAAUAAUUUUCCAUUUCUUUUAAAAAACCGAAAAGACAAUAUUUAUCAACGGAGCAUGUCUUUUUAACUUUCACUAUUUUCUUCUUUUUUUUAGUUGUUUUUUAUUUUUUAUUAUUUAGAGUGAGAUUUGAGUGUGGACUAUUAUAAGAUGACGUGAAUAGAUCUUUAAGUCCCCUUUCUACAACUAACCAUAUCUUAAUGAGACAAGAUUUAAACUAAAAUUAAAUAUUUACCCAAAACAAAAAAGAAACCUAGACUAAGUAAAGUUUAACUAUCUCUUGUAUUUCUUAAGAGUAAUGAAAGAAAAACAGGAGUGUACGAAAAUAAACUUUUACUUUUUCCCUCAUAAAGGGAUAGUAGGUUUCUUCAGUGAACAACCUUUACUUUUUUCUACAUUCCCAUUCUUUACUUAAACCACAGGGGGUGGGAAAAGAGAAUGAGCGGAUUCCUUCGAAUAUUAUUUUCUUGUUCUAUUGACUCAUUUCACAGGACAAAGGUCAUCAAUUAAUUGUAGCCCACGUCACUUCAAUCUUGCAUGCAACUUAAUCGAUCAAAGCAAUGGAGCCAAUAUAUAUUUCUCUUGCCGCCAGGUCAUUGCUUCUAAUGGUAGUUUAAGAAUUUAUUCCCCAAGGAAUUUUGGACGAAGCUCACUUUUGUUGGGGAAUCGCUGCUUAGACCGUUCCACAAGCAAUCAUAUUAUUCUAAAGUUGCAAUCGAGAAAUAUAAUAAUGGUAAUCGCAGUUAUAAAUUGAUGAAAAUAAACACACAGAUUUCACCAGGCUUUCUUUGUUGAGAGAAAAAAGAACGUAACAUAUGGCGGAAGCUGUUGUGUCCAAUGUUGCAGCAAGACUUGGCGAGUUAGUAACUCAAGAAGCAAAAUUCUUGUGGGGGGUGGAGGACCAAGUUAAGCGUUUGCAAACGGAGCUCGUUUGGAUGAAGAGCUUCUUGAAAGAGGCAGAUUCGAGACAAGCUGAAGAUGAGAGGGUUCGUUUGUGGGUUACUGAAAUUAGAGAUAUUGCUUAUGAUGCUGAGGAUGUCAUUGAAACGUUUGCUCUCAAAAUUGCAUCCAAAAGGAGGGGAGGUAUUUCCAAUGUCAUCAAAAGAUCUGCUUGCAUCUUCAAAGAAGGAUGGAUGCUCCACAAGGUCAGGUCAGACAUUGAAGGAAUCAUAAGCAGAACCACUGACUUGGUUCGACGGUUACAGUCCUAUGGAAUAAAAGAAUUGUCGGAUGGAGCAAGCUCAAGUUCUUCAUCUAAGAGGCAACAGUUAAGGCAGUCUUACCCUCAUAUGAAGGAACCCAAUGCUGUUGGGUUGGAUAACGACAUAAAAGAAUUGGUCUCGGUUCUUGUAGAUGAGGGAAGACAUUUCCGCGUUGCUUCCAUAUGUGGCAUGGGUGGUCUAGGAAAGACUACUCUGGCUAAGAAGGUUUACCAUCAUGCUCAAGUGAGAAAUCAUUUCAAGCACUUUGUUUGGGCGUACAUUUCUCAGCAAUGCCAAAGAAGAACUGUGUGGAAAGGAAUUUUAUCCAGCCUAGGACUUAUAGAUGAGAAGGGUGGGAUAUUGCUAGACAUGGGAGAUCAAGAUCUGGCUGCAAAAUUGUAUGAAUUCCUGAAAGAAAACAAAUGUCUAGUGGUACUUGAUGACAUUUGGACAACUGAAGAUUGGGAUGCUAUUAGCCCAGCCUUCCCAAUGGAGGAGGAGACAGGUAGCAAAAUACUGCUCACCUCUCGUAACCAGGAUGUAGCUCGGCAUGCAGACCCAAGAGGUUGCCUCCAUGAACUACAGUGCUUGACGAAUGAUGAAGGUUGGAAAUUGUUCCAACAUAUAUGUGAUUCUGCAGGUAAUAUAUAUCUUAACUCACUUAAAAUUUUAAAUUUUGGGUCAAGUAAUGUGCAUUUCAUCCUCAUUCCAUAAAAUUUUUUACAAUUUAAAGAAAGGAGAAAUGCAUCAUUUUAAUUUGUAUAGCAUAUGCACUCUUGAAAUGCCCCAAUAUUCAUUGGUCUCUAGAUGAUGUUUUUUUGAAAAGCAAUACUGAAAUUUCAUUGAUCAAAAGAAAUUACAAAAACUACCCUUGGGGUGGUAGUGCAGGUUGCCUUUACAGGCUUUCAAUGACCUGUGUACCUUGCUCCGCAUAAGUGAAAGAAAAACAAAAGUAUUAACCUGGGUGCAUAUUAGAUCAACCUAUAGACAUCCGCAUACAUUCCGUAGGCUAAUAAAAAAUCUUCUCACAGAACACGCAGGGACAUUCCAACACAACCAGGUUUUUAUUCCCUGAACACGAGGUACAUCAAGCUUCUUUAAUUUCUUCCACUAGAACACAAAAAAACAGAGACCAACCAAAUAGUAUUACAGGCAAUUACAUCAACAGCAGCGCUCAACCCAAUCAUCUAAGUAUACUAUAUGUCCUUUGACCCUGUCCAAAUCCAGUACUAAUAAGAGAAAUUUUUGGGAGGUAUGAUCAUAGUCGUGUCCCUACCUUCCUGUCUUGGACUCCUCAUAAUACCUCCAAGACUGGAGGUGUUUGUGGUUUGAUGAUUUAGCUGAAUUUAAAGGUUGAUUUUGCUUUUUGACUCUUGAAUGUUUUACGUGUACAGAAUGUGGUUUUGUAUGGCUCUCUUGCUUAACCUUUUGGUGCAGGUUGUGGGUUGGGUAGCUGGGUGGUUUUUGUACAUGUGUAUAGGAUAUUGUCUCUUCUCCUGUAUGUUUUUUGUGGUUACAGGAGUGAGGACUUGGGCAGGACUUUGGGUUCUUCUUGUGUCUGUUCCUUGUUCUGGAGAGGUUGAUACCGGUUUGGAAUGCUGUGCCAUAGGAUAUUGGGAGGUAUACCUGGUAGUCAAUGGGCAUAUCUCCCAAUAUCUGUGGUUUGGUCCUGUUCAGGGUCUGCUUUUGUAUAGGAGAAUUUCUCUCCCCCUUGUUUCUUAAUGAAACCUUCUAAUGACAUUUCAAAAAAAAAAAAAAACCUCCCUCACUGACACCAUUAGCGAUAAAUUUAUAGCACCUAGAACAUAACAGCCAACAUCCCAUUUCCCGCACCCUAGAUUACCUCCGUUCAAAGUUUGAGUAUAUCCUGUGUACCAUAAAUCUCCACACGGACCUCUACCAUGCGCACCCCUAAUGAAGGCUUGCAGUGGUAGCCUUCAACCCCCUUGAUUAAGCUCUGUUACAUCAUUUGACUCCUCCUAAGAAGACCUGAAAAUCAACAAACGACCUGCAGACCUCCCAAGCACACACCAAGCCAACAAGCAUAAUAACAAAAAAAAGGAACCAAGUGAGAAUGGUCCCUUGACAAGACAUCCGGCUAGCCUACCGCAACACCAAACCAUAGCCGUACCAAUAUUUGAGUAGCUCUCAAAUGAAACGAAAAGAGAUGGAUCUUAGCCUAAUAGCUCCCAAGCGUUUUCAGCUUAAUUUCUAUUCUUGAUUGUUAUAAUUUCCUCUUUUUUUUCCUUCCCUUCCACCCCCCUUCCCUUUUUUUUUUCCCUUUUUCACUUUUACAUUUUUCCUGUUAGUUUUUUCUCCUUUUUUUUUUUUAUCAUAAUUCAUGCAAAAUAUGCCAAUCCUAUCUCAAUUUCACCCCCUGGACAAAGACAUACGAAGAAUCACCCACCCACCUCUCCCCCCUCGCUUAUUAACAAAAAAAAAUAGUUUAAUUUUAAUUAAACUAGUAUAUCAUGUCGAAAUAGUUUUUAAAUCUAAUUAUACUAAUAUAAUAUAUCUUAAUAUUAUUAAGAUAAAAUUAUUAUACUUAGAUCUUAUAAAAAAGAUUUAAAAAAAAAUCAACAUUUAAAUUUAAAAAAAGUGAUUUAAGUGUAUGUAAGAUAAAAAUUAUAAAUUUAAUAUUAUUUUUAUAAUUUUUUAAUUUUUUUCUUUAACGAAUCUUUUUUGAUUACUGGACCUAGGUAAUUGUUGUAUUUCCACGACAAAAACCUAUUUAGUUACAUUCAGUCCCUGCCCACGUACCCCAAUUUUCCCAUCAACCAACACAAUCACCACCAUGAGCCAACCCACGCUACCCCAAUUUUCCCAUCAACCAGCACAAUCACCACCAUGAGCAAGUCCAAACAUAAACCUUCACCCCAUACAUUCUUGUAAAUCUGAGGACCUUUAAUAGUCUUCUGUACUUCUCUCCUACUCCCUUACUUCCAACUCUCCCCCAAAUCUUCUUCAACCCAACCCCCCUACCCCUUCCUUAUGCAGCCAGCUAUGUCUUCUUUUUUUUUUUUUCUUAUUCCCUCAUAUUGUUCAUAUAUUUUUUUAUAUUGUACGUAAAAAUAUACCUGUACACGGUCACCCGUCAGCCUUGCCAACCCAGCUUGGUACCUGCAAUUCUCGAUCCUCCCAUGGUCUUCAAAUCUAGAAAAUUGAUGCUUGACAUAGAGCUUAAAUAAAAAUUUAAUGCUCAUUAUCAAACCAGCAUAAAAAGGUGCAACAUUGGCAACCCCAACAGAACCUUUAAGAAAAUAAGUUAAUCCCAACCUUCAUCCCCACCCAAACAGUGGACAAUUAUUUAUAACCUCUCAUGUGGGCUUUCAACCCCUUCCUUUGCCAGUUAAUCUGCAAACCCAUUUGCCUUCCUCAUAUUGUGCUAAAUGCUUCGCCUUUCAAUUCUCGACAGUAGUGCAUGAUGAACAGCAAAUGGUGUCUCAAUCUCCACAAUAUCGAGUUAGGAUUUUAAUUUGGUCCACCCCACAGCAUUAAGAGAAUCACUUUCACUAAUCAGUUGGUAUGAACCCACCCCUUUUAAGUAGCAAAAAUGACCACAGCUUUAAUGACAAGGAGCUCUGCUGUGUUGGAUUCUGUAAUGCCCACCGAUUUGGAGAAUAGCACUUUCAUCACCCUUUACUCAUCUCUAAGGACUUCGCCUAUUCCUACUUUCCCUGGUUUACCCUUUGAAGAUCCGUCCAUACUAAACUUCAUGUACCCUGGGGGAAGGACAUAAUCACUGUACCUGCUUCUUCUUAAUUUUUCUCCUCACAGGCUCACACAUUAAAUGAGUGUGUAGUAAGGCGUUCGUGGCAUUAAGAUUAUUUGCCUUGUGCCAAUGUACUACCCUGUACUUAAUGAUUUCAAAUGCUUACUCGGCAUCCCAUACAUUACCCCUCAAAAACCACCUCAUUUAUUUGAAUCCAAAUGGACUAAAUUAUGGCAAAGAAAGCCAUCCACCACGAUUUCAUGAUGCUAACGUGCCAUUCCACCUCUAUCCAUGCUAUUCGGAGCCCCUUUCCAUAUCAACUAUAUUCACCAUCUUUAGCAGGAGUACCUUUUGCAAUCACUUCCCAAUCCAUAAGACCCCUGUGAUAUUCAAUGCUUCAAUUCCAUUCCCCGUCCACGUAAAUCCCAUACUCACACACCUUCUCAUAUCUGUUAACAGCCAGUGUAAAAUUGCUCGGAAAAACGAUCUUAAGGAUGAUAUCUGUGAUCUAUUCCUCCGACCAAAAAGAAAUCCGACCUCCAUUUCUCAAACCGAAACUGAUCCCUGCUGUGGUUUGAAGGUAAUAUCUGUUGUAAUCUCAAGAGUGUUCAUGAUUCCUUCCAACACCUUGGAAGUCCUAUUUCCCCUCCCAAGCCUCGGGACAAAACUUGCAUCUUCACAUUCGAUCUUUUCAACAAUGACCUUCUUCCAUAAUCUGUUGGGUUCAUUUCCGAACUUCCAAAUCCAUUUAUUCAACAUUAUUUUAUUUUUCAAGCUUAAAUCCACUAACCCCAAGCCAUCAUUAUCUUUGUAAUUACAAACCGAAUCUCAAUCCUCAAGAUAAAUUUUGCGCUCCAUCACUGUUUCACUCCAUAAAAAUCGGCCUUUGAUCUUGUCAAGCCCAUAUUUCGCACCCUUAGAGAUUUGAAAGUGGGACGUAUAAUAAAUGGAUAGAUUGGACAAAACCGUUUUGAGAAAUGUGACUCUACCUUCGGUGGAUAGGAACUUUCCUCUACAGCUUGCCAAUCUUUGCUCCAAUCUCUCAAUCAUUUGCCUCCAAACCCCUAAGUACCUUGGAUUGGCUAGCAACGACAUUCCCAUGUAUGUCGUAGGCAAUGUCCCAAUUUUGUAUCUGAUUCUGUUUGCCCACCUUUGCACCACAGUGUCCUUAAUCCUAAUAUCAUACAAACUACUCUUUUAAAAAUUAAUUUUCAAUCUCCAGAUCGCUUGAUAGCAUUUGAGAAUCCUUUUAACAUUGAGAAAUGAGUCAUACUAGCCAUCCCUAUAAAUUAAUUUUAUAAAUUAAUUUCUUCAUCGGACAAAACAGUAUUGUGUCGUAUGCAUAUUGCAAACUAGCCAUCCCUCUAGCCAUACUUAUGAGAAUUCUAUUGAUCUUCUUAAAGUCCAAGACAUUAAAUCGAAUCUAGAUUUCUAUUUCUGAUUUUGUCAAAGAUAUAAUUAAGGAAAAUGAAAUUUAUAAAAUUGUUAAAAGAAAAAUUAUAAAAUUGAGUACUUUAUGUCUUUUGAUUUAAUAUAUAUGUAAAAUAUUUGAGGAUAAAAGUUAAUUAAUGACAACUUGCAGAAAAAUAAAGUUAAGGUGAUCUGCUGGAUGUUUUUAUCCCCUGUUUGUUGUAAAGGUGAUCUGAUCUUAUUCAGGUCUGCUUGUUUGGAUGUACAAAGGGCUUCCCCUUCCUCAGUCAAUGAACUUUUCAUAUAAUUUUGAGAAAAAAAAUACCCAAUAUUCUUCUAUAAAAAAAACAAAAAGAAAAGUCUUAUUGUUAUAUUUUUGGCAACAUAUAUUAAUUAGCAUAUGUGUUUAUUUGUGGGCUACAUAUGAUUGAUGACUAUUAUUGCUAGUUCAAGUAUUUGAGAUGGUAUAUAUCAAUCUAGUUUUCUUUUUUCUAUUAUUUCCCAGGCUAUGUAAUUGAGGAAAAAAUGGAAGAGUUGGGAAAAGACAUGGUUAAACAGUGUGCUGGAUUGCCAUUAGCCAUUGUUGUUCUAGGAGGAAUUUUGGUUACAAAGCAUUCAUUAAAUAGUUGGCAAAUAGUGCAUGAAAAUGUGAAGUCAUACUUAAGAAAAGGUAGAAGUUGGGGAAUUUAUGAAGCAAUAGCUUUAAGUUAUGACAAUUUGCCAUCUUAUUUAAAACAAUGCUUUUUGUAUCUGAGUGUUUUCCCCGAAGAUUACAAGAUUCCUGUUGGUAAAUUAAUCAAAUUAUGGGUGGCAGAAGAUAUCGUGUCACUAGCAGAAAGUGAAGAAAAUCGAGAAGAAGUGAUGGAAGAUGUGGCAGAAGGCUACUUAAAUGAGCUUGUAGAAAGAUACAUGGUGCUAAUGGGAGAACGAGAUGUAAGCUCAAAGAUCAAAACAUGCUGGAUGCAUGAUCUUAUCAGAGAUUUCUGCUUGUUGAAAGCAAAACAAGAAAAUUUCAUCUACGUUCUUGAUCAUCUUCAAAUGGAGCAAGCUGAUGUUAGCUUCUUGUCCCCUACAAUUGGUAAAGUUCGCAGGCUUGGCAUUAAUGACUCCUUUCUGAUAUAUAAGAUUAAAAACCCACAUCUCAGAACUGCAUUGUUCUUUGAUCAAAACAUUGUGAUGGAGAUUUUGAAUAGGUCUCCGGUCUUGAAAUGGUUUCGGGGAAGAGAUUUUAAACAUAGUGAUGCAUUUUUAAUGCUUUAUGUCUACUAUAAGGUCAUACAUAAACCUCGAGGGUUAAGGAGAUACAUUUGCAACAAUUUCAAAUUGCUUAGAAUCUUAGAGUUUGGAGAUCAGGAUAUUCUAUUUUUUGGCAUAUUACUAAGUGAUAUAGGUAGUCUCGUCCAUUUGAGAUUUUUGAGUUUUGGGAAUUGUCUUUUCGUGGCAAUGUUGCCAUCAUUUAUAAGCAAAUUGAGGUGCUUGCAAACCUUGGAUCUAAGAAAUUGUGUUGGAGUUUAUGUACCUAAUGUUUUAUGGAAAUUGGAGGGGUUGAGACAUUUGUAUCUCCCUAAAGUGAUAGUUUGUAGUAAAACUAAGUUAAAAUUAGAUACUUUGAAAAAUCUACAAACGCUUGUGAAUUUCAACACCGAGAAUUGUUAUCUUGAAAAUAUUUACUGCAUGAAAUAUCUUAGAGAGUUGAGGAUAAUUACUCCCUUCAUUGUUGAAAACUUUAAGGAAGACUUGAAUUUGAACCCGCCGAUCAUCACAAGUAAACAUCUUCGAUCCUUGUCCAUUAUUAAGAAUGAUGAUGAUCAUGAAAGUAUAGAUCCAAGGCAUUUGACAUACUUGUUCUCUGGUUCCCUUAAUAUCUGUGAAUUGCAUUUAUCUGCCAAGAUAAGGAAGUUACCCGAACCUCAGCACAUCCCUUCAAAUAUUGCUCACAUUUACUUGGGUUGGGCUAGACUCGAUGAAGAUCCAUUGCCAACACUACAGAACCUACCAAAUCUAAGGAUUCUCGAAUUAGAAGAAAAUGCAUUCGUCGGGAAGGUGAUGAUUUGUUCCGCACAAGGUUUUCCUCUGCUCAACGCUUUGAGUAUUAUUUCUCAAAGUAAUUUAGAGGAGUUGAGGGUGAGUGAAGGAGCCAUGCCCAAUCUACACCAUCUGAGGAUUGUAAAUUGUAGAAUGUUGAAGAUGUUGCCGUUCAUCAGCACCCUCAAAGAAUUGAAGAUCGAAAAGAUGCCGAAAGCAUUCAAAGAUAAAUUGGUUGAAGGAGGAGAAGAUUCAUACAAAGUCCAACAUGUACCUUCUAUCAUAUUUCAAAAUUGUGAUGAUUGAAUUUAUGAUCAUCAGGUAAUCUUUUAUUACUUAUUUCUAAGCUUACUUUCUUUUGAAAUUAAGGAAUUGAAAUAGGAUUGAAUUAUGACCAUCAAAAUUUUUCUUUGGGCUAUUUUCGCGAGAAAAAUUUACUUUGGAAAUUGAUAUUGUGAUUGAUUUCCAUUCUCUUAAGAAAAUAAAAGACGAUUCUUUGCCACGUCAGCAACACUAUCCGUUGUGGUAUUUACUGAAACAGAACAUCGGUCAUUUCGCCACUUGAUAGCCUCUUCUUCUUUCUCAUUGCCACUCUAUCCUCUGUUUUCUUUUCCUGGUUUCUAUGUGCUUCCGUCAAUGGAUUCCAACACUGUCUUCUUCUCUUCAAAAUUCCAGACCCCAACUCGCCCACCUUCUUCUCCAUUGCGCUCUUGCACUAACCGCCCUCUAAUCAGCCGACAAUUCCUUGGUUUCAAUCACACUCUCAG